rnacentral:rRNA from 1 species
UACAUGGGGUGCAAACGUUGCUCGGAAUUAUUGGGCGUAAAGCGCACGUAGGCGGUCCGUUAAGUCGGAUGUGAAAGCCCCCGGCUCAACCGGGGAAGUGCAUCCGAAACUGGCAGGCUAGAGUACGAAAGAGGGUCGCGGAAUUCCCGGUGUAGAGGUGAAAUUCGUAGAUAUCGGGAGGAACACCGGUGGCGAAGGCGGCGACCUGGGUCGAUACUGACGCUGAGGUGCGAAAGCGUGGGGAGGCAAACAGG